rnacentral:rRNA from 1 species
AGUGAACGUUGGCGGCGUGGAUUAGGCAUGCAAGUCGAGCGAGAACCGUAGCAAUACGGGGACAGCGGCGAAAGGGACAGUAAUGUGUAGGUACCUACCUCCGGGUUCGGGAUAGCUGCGGGAAACUGCAGGUAAUACCGAAUAACGUCUCCGGACCAAAGGUGUGAGUCCAUCUGGCGGGGGGCCUGCAUCCUAUUCGCUAGUUGGGGAGGUAACGGCGCACCAAGGCGACGAUGGGUAGCGGGUGUGAGAGCACGACCCGCGUCAUUGGGACUGGGACACUGCCCAGACACCUACGGGUGGCUGCAGUCGAGGAUCUUCAGCAAUGGGCGCAAGCCUGACCGAGCGACGCCGCGUGCGGGAUGAAGGCCUUCGGGUUGUAAACCGCUGUCGUAGAGGAGGAAAUGCAGGGGGGUUCUCCCCUCUGUUUGACCUAUUCUAGGAGGAAGGACGGGCUAAGUUCGUGCCAGCAGCCGCGGUAACAC